rnacentral:rRNA from 1 species
GAUGAACGCUGGCGGCGUGCUUAACACAUGCAAGUCGAGCGAACAGACGAGGAGCUUGCUCCUCUGACGUUAGCGGCGGACGGGUGAGUAACACGUGGAUAACCUACCUAUAAGACUGGGAUAACUUCGGGAAACCGGAGUUAAUACCGGAUAAUAUAUUGAACCGCAUGGUUCAAUAGUGUAUGACGGUUUUGCUGUCAAUUAUAGAUGGAUCCGCGCCGCAUUAGCUAGUUGGUAAGGUAACGGCUUACCAAGGCAACGAUGCGUAGCCGACCUGAGAGGGUGAGCGGCCACACUGGAACUGAGACACGGGCCAGACUCCUACGGGAGGCAGCAGUAGGGAAUCUUCCGCAAAGGGCGAAAGCCUGACGGAGCAACGCCGCGUGAGUGAUGGAGGUCUUCGGGUCGUAAAACUCUGUUAUUAGGGAAGAACAAAUGUGUAAGUAACUAUGCACGUCUUGACGGUACCUAGUCAAAAAGCCACGGCUAACUACGUG